UGGGGAAUAUUGCACAAUGGGCGCAAGCCUGAUGCAGCCAUGCCGCGUGUGUGAAGAAGGCCUUCGGGUUGUAAAGCACUUUCAGCGAGGAGGAAGGUGGUGAGCUUAAUACGCUCAUCAAUUGACGUUACUCGCAGAAGAAGCACCGGCUAACUCCGUGCCAGCAGCCGCGGUAAUACGGAGGGUGCAAGCGUUAAUCGGAAUUACUGGGCGUAAAGCGCACGCAGGCGGUUUGUUAAGUCAGAUGUGAAAUCCCCGGGCUCAACCUGGGAACUGCAUUUGAAACUGGCAAGCUAGAGUCUCGUAGAGGGGGGUAGAAUUCCAGGUGUAGCGGUGAAAUGCGUAGAGAUCUGGAGGAAUACCGGUGGCGAAGGCGGCCCCCUGGACGAAGACUGACGCUCAGGUGCGAAAGCGUGGGGCAGCAAACAGGAUUAGAUACCCUGGUAGUCCAGCGCUGUAAACGAUGUCGAUUUGGAGGUUGUGCCCCUUGAGGCGUGGCUUCCGGAGCUAACGCGUUAAAUCGACCGCCUGGGGAGUACGGCCGCAAGGUUAAAACUCAAAGGAAUUGAC
rnacentral:rRNA from 1 species